rnacentral:rRNA from 1 species
UGGGGAAUAUUGCACAAUGGGCGAAAGCCUGAUGCAGCAACGCCGCGUGAGUGAUGAAGGUCUUCGGAUUGUAAGGCUCUGUCUUUUGGGACGAUAAUGACGGUACCAAAGGAGGAAGCCACGGCUAACUACGUGCCAGCAGCCGCGGUAAUACGUAGGUGGCGAGCGUUGUCCGGAUUUACUGGGCGUAAAGGGUGCGUAGGCGGAUGUUUAAGUGAGAUGUGAAAUACCCGGGCUUAACUUGGGUGCUGCAUUUCAAACUGGAUAUCUAGAGUGCAGGAGAGGAGAAUGGAAUUCCUAGUGUAGCGGUGAAAUGCGUAGAGAUUAGGAAGAACACCAGUGGCGAAGGCGAUUCUCUGGACUGUAACUGACGCUGAGGCACGAAAGCGUGGGUAGCAAACAGGAUUAGAUACCCUGGUAGUCCACGCCGUAAACGAUGAGUACUAGGUGUAGGAGGUAUCGACCCCUUCUGUGCCGCAGUAAACACAUUAAGUACUCCGCCUGGGAAGUACGAUCGCAAGAUUAAAACUCU